rnacentral:lncRNA from 1 species
AUUGAGGUCUACAAUUCUCCUGUGAGGCUCCACUCUGGGCGAUGGGAUUCCCUUGAAGUGAGGAGACAGUGUGGAAAGAUGAGGCUGUCUGUCUCCAGCCCUCCCGUUACCUCUGCCCAUCAGACUUCUUGUGAGGCUAGCCCGUAUCAGAUCCUCUUGGGCCUCAUAGGCUAGGAGGCUGCCCGUGGAAGGCAAUGAAAAGGCUGGACUUUCCUCACUUGGUAGAACAUCCUGGGGGUUGUCCAGACAUUACAACUGGCUUUCUGCACAGGAGCCCAGAUGAGUAAACUUGAGGCCAAGGCAGAGAGCCACAGCCACGGUUUCCAGGUCAGGGCAGUGGCUUGGGACCAUCCCAGGGCCACAUCAAGCUAGCAUCCUCUUUGUCCAUCUUCUGUGGGGUCUCAUCCCCUCCUUGUACUUUUAUUCAGAGAGGCAGUCCUGCUGCCAUCCACAACCUGCUACCCUGGAGCUGCAGCGGGGGUCAGGGAAGCCUUUGUCCCUGCAUCCCCUGCAUCCCCCUGCUGGAGGCCCACCACAAUGGCUCCUCCUACUCCUAAUUUUAAAAAGUGCACAUGUAUAAACGUUUUGCAUAGGCGUGUGUGUGCACCAUGUGCUUUCCUGGUACCCGAGGAGGC